AAUAGAGCUGUGAACCGGUUUUAGGUUAACCGGUUAACCGACUGGUUACAGCAUAAUUUAGGUUAUCAGUUAUUUUUAGCUAUAACCGGUUUUAUGAAAUUAAUGAUUUUAUGCACUGUGAAGUUAAAAUUUAUCAUAUUUCAGGCAAGAACACUUCCAAUAUCUAGUAAAUUGAACUUUGUGACCCACAAGACAAUGCCAUAUAUCAUUGAAAAGAGCAUAUAAGUUGUGUUGGCCAACUAAAUCAAACUCUACAAUUUAUUAUUUAUCGUAAUUCUUACUAUUCUUACAUAUUUAUAGUGGUAUUAUUAAGUUUCAUUUAACAAUCAGUUAACCGAUUAACCGUCAGUUAUUGGUGACCAGUUAACCGGUUAUGCUAAGUGGCCCAGGUUCACAGCUCUACUGUGUAACAUCAGCACUGAGAUAUUAUGAUCCCAUCAUAAAGAAACACAAAUGCACCAAUCCUUACAUCACUUCACUAACAUGUACACAGUCCCAGCUACUGAUUGGUACCUCUACUGGUGUCCUUAUUACACUAUCGCUAGUGGGAGGAGCUAACACUCAUCAACUCCACCCACUAAUCAGAGGUCACAUUGAUAGAGUGAGUACCCUUGUAUCAGUUCCACCCACACACACUAAUAGUAGUUAUCAAGUGUUCAUAAGUGGUGGCCAUGGGUUAAUUGGAGGAUAUUAAUAAAGCAAGAGCUUGUGAUGAUGUAUCAGAGACCGAGGGGUGUCUUUUCUUUUGGUAUUUAUCGUCUACUAAGAAUCAACAGCUGCACUGACUGACUGUCACAUGACUAUCACAUGAUUAAUAGAAUUUUAUUGUUUGUGUAUGUUUUAAGAUUAGCAUGACAUUAUAAAUAGAAUUUGUGUAUCAUUAA